ensembl:lncRNA
CCAGGAUGGAGAACAGGGGUCAGGAUGGAGAACAGGGGUCAGGAUGGAGAACAGGGGUCAGGAUGGAGAACAGGGGUCAGGAUGGAGAACAGGGGUCAGGAUGGAGAACAGGUGUCAGGAUGGAGAACAGGGGUCAGGAUGGAGAACAGGGGUCAGGAUGGAGAACAGGGGUCAGGAUGGAGAACAGGGGUCAGGAUGGAGAACAGGGGUCAGGAUGGAGAACAGGGGUCAGGAUGGAGAACAGGGGUCAUGGUGGAGAACAGGGGUCAUGGUGGAGAACAGGGGUCAGGAUGGAGAACAGGGGUCAGGAUGGAGAACAGGGGUCAUGGUGGAGAACAGGGGUCAGGAUGGAGAACAGGUGUCAGGAUGGAGAACAGGGGUCAGGAUGGAGAACAGGGGUCAGGAUGGAGAACAGGGGUCAGGAUGGAGAACAGGGGUCAGGAUGGAGAACAGGGGGUCAGGAUGGAGAACAGGGGUCAGGAUGGAGAACAGGGGUCAGGAUGGAGAACAGGGGUCAUGGUGGAGAACAGGGGUCAGGAUGGAGAACAGGGGUCAGGAUGGAGAACAGGGGUCAGGAUGGAGAACAGGG